UCUCCGUAGGUGAACCUGCGGAGGGAUCAUUACAGAGUUCUCGCCCUUACGGGUAGAUCUCCCACCCACUGGUAUCGUUACUGUCGUUUCUUUUGCGGUCCGCCGGGUCCCCCGCCCGCUGGCGGCUAAUAGGCGGCCCGCGCCCGCCAGAAGCCUUCAAACUCUGAAUUUUAGUGUCGUCUGAUUACUAUAUAAUAGUUAAAACUUUCAACAACGGAUCUCUUGGUUCUG
rnacentral:misc_RNA from 1 species